GACGAACGCUGGCGGCGUGCUUAACACAUGCAAGUCGAACGAAGUGGCGAACGGGUGAGUAAUACGUGGGUAACCUGCCCUCCUUUUUGGGAUAAGCCUUGGAAACGGGGACUAAUACUGACUAAAGGGGGAUGGGCUCGCGGCCUAUCAGAUUGUUGGUGGGGUGAUGGCCUACCAAGGCGGUGACGGGUAGCCGGCCUGAGAGGGUAACCGGCCACAUUUGGAGUGAGAUACGGCCGAGACACCUACGGGAGGGAGCAGUAGGGGAUAUUGCGCAAUGGGGGAAACCCUGACGCAGCAACGCCGCGUGGAGGAUGACACUUUUCGGAGCGUAAACUCCUUUCGGUACCUAACGAAUAAGCACCGGCUAACUCCGUGCCAGCAGCCGCGGUAAUAC
rnacentral:rRNA from 1 species